AACAAUAACUAAAGCAUAGAAGGAAGGCUAAAAUAAGAAUUCAGAAACUAUAAACCGGCUCUCUUCUAGCUUACGACACAAACUAUGAGUGAGAAAAGGACAAAUGAUUCGCUCUUUGCUUCAUUUUUUCCGAGGUUGUCACAACAUGAAAUGUCAUUUGGACCUAUUGGACUCAUUUUAAUUCGGCCAAAUACAUAGUAACAUACAUAAGAAGAUUUUACUUAUAUUUACCGAACUAUUUGACACGGUCGCGUGAACUUUGUUUACGAGUGUCUUGUGUUCAGAUUGUUUUAAGUGAUAAUUUAACAAUAUUUUUCCAAAUAAAUGGAAAGAAACUUUUAUUUAUAUCAAAUAAUUGAGUGUCUCGACUCUGUGACAUUAUGUCUUGUGUGGUAUGGGGCUGCAGCUCACAUUCAGGAAGAAAAGAAAAUAGCCAACAACUUCUGUCGUUUCAUCGAUAUUAAAUCCAAAAGUGUCGACUGGAUUUACAUGAAAAGUCAGUUCAAGAAGACGAGAUGAAAAAUUUAAAAGAAAAGCUGAACAAGUCACGCCUCAAGAUCAAACGACUUAAUGAAAAAAAAAAUCAAUGUGACAGGGUGUCACAAAGACAGUUUCUAAACAAAUUGACACUGUUUAGAAAUUAAUAAAUUUGUAUUUAUUGUAAAUAUAAUGUACAUAAUUAAUAACGUGUAAAAUAAAUACUUGCUAAUGAACAGA